rnacentral:rRNA from 1 species
UACAGAGGGGGCGAGCGUUGUUCGGAAUUACUGGGCGUAAAGGGCGCGUAGGCGGCCAACUAAGUCAGACGUGAAAUCCCCUGGCUCAACCAGGGAACUGCGUCUGAUACUGGAUGGCUUGAAUCCGGGAGAGGGAUGUGGAAUUCCAGGUGUAGCGGUGAAAUGCGUAGAUAUCUGGAGGAACACCGGUGGCGAAGGCGGCAUCCUGGACCGGUAUUGACGCUGAGGCGCGAAAGCCAGGGGAGCAAACGGG